GGAUUUUAUCAAAUAGUAAGUAAGGAAUAAAACUAAGCUAUUAUUUACAGUCUCCCCCUCGUGCGCAAGCACCGAAACGUUUUAUUCCUGGCUGCUUACGAGAAUCAGACGAGAGGCUGGGCGACGAAUUAGUCCGGCGGCUGUACGGACUUCUGCUACUCUAACCCGCCCGUCUGGACCUGGGAAAGUCUUUAUUAUUUCACCUCUAGGCCAUAUUCCACGGGGCAUCGUUCUAUCACAUAUUAUAACGAUGUCUCCGGGGUUGAGGUUGCUGUGCUGCGGGUUGCCGAGCCGAGGCAUCAAUUGGGGUUUGUACUCUGCUACCCAUCGAGCCCAGAACGCUUCGGCCAACUUUUGCGCAGCUUUCCACGAGCGACUAUCUGCUGUGUAGUCUUUAUACGAGCCGAAAGGUAUCAUCCCGCUUGACCUCCCAAUUAGGAAGUGAUUUGGGGUCAGUGAUUCCUCGUUUAGAUCAGGAUUUACUGGUGUUAACGGUCUCGUAUUUAUGACAUGUUCUGCUUCCAGCAACAGCGUAUGCAACACUUCAUCUGGGGGCGUCUUUUCUGUUAAGGUGACUCGUAAUGCCGCCUUCACAGAUCUCACUAAUCUCUCCCAGGCGCCGCCCAUGUUCGGGGCCCCAGGGGGUAUUCUUUUCCAAAUUAUCUGUUUUCCGGAGGCGAAGACCUUCAUCGCGUCGUCAUUUUGUCGAAGAGCUUCCGUCACUUCUUUCUCGGCGCCCACGAAGUUGGUUCCGUUGUCGCUAUAUAUGACCGUCGGAGUGCCACGGCGGGACAUCAUUCGGCGCAAGCUCAUAAUCAUGGAGGAUGCAGAUAGGGAAGGCACCAGCUCCAGAUGCACGGCCCGAGUGGUGAGGCACGUGUAAAGUGCGCCCCA